rnacentral:misc_RNA from 1 species
UCUCGGCUUAUCACCGGCAGUCCCCUUAGAGUGCCCAACUGAAUGAUGGCAACUAAGGGCGAGGGUUGCGCUCGUUGCGGGACUUAACCCAACAUCUCACGACACGAGCUGACGACAGCCAUGCAGCACCUGAACCGGCAGUCCCCGAAGGGAAAAUCCUAUCUCUAGGACAGGCCGCCGUUGUCUAGCCCAGGUAAGGUUCUUCGCGUUGCGUCGAAUUGAACCACACGCUCCGCUGCUUGUGCGGGCCCCCGCCUAUUCCUUUGAGUUUUAACCUUGCGGCCGUAGUCCCCAGGCGGUGAACUUAAUGCGUUAGCUGCGGCACUGAUCGGGUCAAUCCGACCAACACCUAGUUCACAACGUCUAGGGCGUGGACUAC